GAUGAACGCUAGCGGCAGGCUUAGUACAUGCAAGUCGAGGGGUAGCAAGAUUGUAGCAAUACAAUUGUUGACGACCGGCAAACGGGUGCGGAACACGUACACAACCUUCCUACAAGUGGGGAAUAGCCCAGAGAAAUUUGGAUUAAUACCCCGUAACAUAGCGAUGUGGCAUCACAUUGCUAUUAUAGCUUCGGCGCUUGUUGAUGGGUGUGCGGCUGAUUAGAUAGUUGGCGGGGUAACGGCCCACCAAGUCUACGAUCAGUAGCUGAUGCGAGAGCAUGAUCAGCCACACGGGCACUGAGACACGGGCCCGACUCCUACGGGAGGCAGCAGUAAGGAAUAUUGGACAAUGGACGCAAGUCUGAUCCAGCCAUGCCGCGUGAAGGAUUAAGGUCCUCUGGAUUGUAAACUUCUUUUAUAAGGGACGAAAAAAGGUCUUUCUAGAUCGUCUGACGGUACCUUAUGAAUAAGCACCGGCUAACUCCGUGCCAGCCGCCGCCGUAAGAC
rnacentral:rRNA from 1 species